GACGAACGCUGGCGGCGUGCUUAACACAUGCAAGUCGAACGGAAAGGUCCUGCUUUUGUGGGGUGCUCGAGUGGCGAACGGGUGAGUUACCCGUGAGUAACCUGCACUUGACUUUGGGAUAUCCUCAUGAAACUGGGUCUCAUACCGGAUAGGAGCUCUCGCUGCAUGGUGGGCGUUGGUAAGUUUCGGCGGUUGGGGAUGGACUCGCGGCUUAUCAGCUUGUUGGUGGGGUAGUGGCUUACCAAGGCUUUGACGGGUAGCCGGCCUGAGAGGGGGACCGGCCACACUGCACCUGAGAUACGGCCCAGACUCCUACGGGACGCAGCAGUGGGGAGUAGUGCACAAUGGGCGGAAGCCUGAUGCAGCAACGCCGCGUGCGGGAUGACGGCCUUCGGGUUGGAAACCGCAGUCGCCUGUGACGAAGCGUGAAUGACGGUAAUGGGUAAAGAAGCACCGGCUAACUACGUG
rnacentral:rRNA from 1 species